UUAAUCGGAACUGCAAUGGCGAACUGCGUUAGGUGGGCAGAGGCUAGGUUAACACACCCUUUUCUGUCUUGUCUGUUUUCAAGAGACAGCCAACCACUUGGCCCAAGAUGAAGGUGAGGCUGAGAGAUGACCGGGCUCCAGUCUGGCGUGAUGGCCUGCAGGGUGUCAGCGUACAACUGUGACUCCAUCUCCUCAGGGGACCUGUCAACCCCAAGAGUCCUGACAAUCCCCACAGGAAGCAAAGUCCCCCAUCUCCCCAAACUGACCAAGGUGAUCGAUCAGCUGUGGUUCCGCAUCCACUGGGCUCUUCCAGCAUCUUCUUUUGCAACUGUCUGACAUCUGCUGUCUGGGAGACACGUCUGGCUUCCAGAUGAACAUCUAUCCCUCCUGGUAACCCAGCCACUCUGGACAAGGCCUUUAAGUGAACUUGGAAGUGAGUGCCAGGGACGAGUCUUGGAGAUGGGACUUCUGCUGUCAAAUGCCUGUCCCCAGUCAUGCUAAGUACCGAAAGUUCAGUGGUGAAUGCAGCUCCUGCCUUCUGUUUGACUACAAAGUGGUCCCUGGUGUGGUUUGCCAUAAUGUCUCUGUCUUAAUUAGAGUUUUACUGCUGUGAACAGACACCAUGACCAAGGCAAGUCUUAUAAAAACAACAUUUAAUUGGGCUGACUUACAGGUUCAGAGGUUCAAUCCAUUAUCAUCAAGGUGGGAGCACGGCAGCAUCCAGACAUCCUAUGGCACAGGCAGAGCUGAGAGUUCUAUGUCUUCAUCCAAAGGCUGCUAGUGGAAGA
rnacentral:lncRNA from 1 species